rnacentral:tRNA from 1 species
GCAGAGAUGUCAGAGCGGUCGAAUGAGCACGAUUGGAAAUCGUGUGAUGUGAAAGCAUCCGCAGGUUCAAAUCCUGUUCUCUGCGCCA